rnacentral:lncRNA from 1 species
GGACCAUUAUUGUUAAUUGUUUUACAGGAUGAGGAACUCUAUUAGUUUAUCAUUGCAUGCACAUAGUUUUAUUUAUCUAUCAUGUAUAUUACUGUUCAGGACAAACAAAAUAGAUGGUUAACCAGGAACGGAAAAUUUACUUUCUGUAAUUGUUUACUUUUAAUUUGCUUUCAUUUGCUUUGUUUUUCUUCUGUUAUAGGCUAAGAUUUGAUUUUGUGCACAUUUAUGUACCCUAUGUUCUGCACUGAAUUCUACUAGUUGAGUAAAAAAGGGAAGGUUAAGAUAAAAAAAGUAAUCUUGCUACAUUUCCAAGUCCCUGUUCUGUGCCAGACAACUCGCCAUGGGUAGCUACAAUCUUAUGUUAUAUCGGCGAAGCUCCUACCAUAUGUCCCGAUUCAAAGGCAUUGGUUGUCUCCUUUUUUCCUUCCCCCAUUUGGAUCCGCCACUACUGUGCCCAAUUGUGAUAACUCAAAGCUUCAAAUGUGCACAUUAACAAAAUUUUAAGUGGCAUUUAGUUUAACAGACUCCAUCAUUCUAUUUUGAUCUUUAUGGAAUUUCUUUGCUAUAGAGGACUAUAGGAUAAAUGUUAUGUUCCACUUGUUUUAGUCAUUAUCUUAGUUAUUACAGAUUACGAAUUACAUACUUCAUAAGCACAAUGACAAACACGAUGGCUGCAAGGAGUGGCAUAUCAACGGCAUCAACUAUUGGAAUUAAUCCUUCGCAUUUUGUUUCUCAAUCUUUAAUUUUCCGUACAGUGUUUUGAGUUCUGUUGACUUUUCGUUGGGUUUUUUUUACAAUUAAUUGCAUAUUUUUUCUCGACUCCUUUAUCAAAACAAAGGCUUGUAUUGCGAGGGAUGUUGUGCAAUACUGUUGAUUAGUGUAUAUUAGUUUUUUUAUGUUAUUUUGAAAGAAAUAUUGACCAUUAAAAGAAUUCAAACAAA